GUUACCUGGGAGUCUUGUUAAAAUGCAGAUUCUGAUACAUUAGGUCUGGGGCAAGGCCUGAGAUUCUGCAUUUCUAACCAGCUCCUAAGUGAUAUCAU
rnacentral:pre_miRNA from 1 species